ACAGCCAUAUGACGUUGAAACACCGGUUUCCCUUACGGUCAUCGAAGUUAAGUAACGUCGAGCCUUGUAAGUACCCAAAUGGGUGACAACUUGGGAAUACCAAGUGCUGUUA